CCACCUUCCUCCUCUCUAACAAACUUCCCACGACUCCACUGUUCACGACGCCCCCCCACGGCCGCGCUGGAAACUGCAUGGAGCCGCCAGCCCCCCGGCGGUGGAGGGUGGAUGUGCAGGCACCCGGGGUUGGGCGAGUUUAGCCCCAGAGACACGGACUCUCCUUCCAGUCCCUCUCUCCACUAUUCCAGCUCCCUCGUAAUUCGCAAGGAGCAUUACGUGCAGUUUUGGUCUCCCUGUGAGAGGAAGGAUGAGCUGAAAAGGCGCAGAUAAGUUGUACUUGGAUGUUACCAGGACAAGGUGGCCUGAGCUUUUAGGGAGACGUUGAGGAGUUUAUUCCUUAGAGCGCAGGAGGAUGAGAACUGAUCUUAUAGGGAGUUUUCACGGCAGUCGGGUCACGACCCAUGACCCGUGCUGUUGCUACCCUACGCCAACUGGAGUACACGCGAUGAACUGCAGAUAAUCUCAAUCUCAAAAAUUAUGAGGCUGGACAUUCAGAUCUUUUUUCCCAGGAUGGAAAAUUCAAAGACUAGAGGGCAUAGCUUCAAGGGUAUAAAACAACUUGCACAAGAUGACGGGCUGAUCUGCAGUAUUCAUACUGUGGCAACAAAAGUUACAAACAAGAUCCAAGUGGCUGCCUUCAACACAACUGGAGUUGGAUCACAGAGCAAUCCAUUGCAUGUGUGAUUAUUGCAAGUAUUGAUCAAUAUUUUUGUGUAUGGUGUAAAAUAUUCAUGUAACCAGUUCAGUGAAAUUAUGUGUAAGAAAGAAUUGCAGAUGCUGGAUAAAAUCGAAGGUUGACACAAAAUGCUGGAGUAACUCAGCGGGUGAGGCAGCAUCGAUGGAGAGAAGGAAUGGGUGAUGUUUCGGGUCGAAAAGAAGUAGGGUCUCGACCUGAAACGUCACCCAUUCCUGCAGCGGCCAUUUGGCUUAUUUUGUGUGUCAUUAAUUAUGGCAUUUUUCUUUAUAUUUUUGACUGCCCACAUUAUUAUGUGGGUGAGAUUUGAUGCUGGGUUUCUUGCACAGAAGCCUAGUGUUUUUGUUCAGUUUUGGAGUUACGUGGGGAAGAUAUACCCUUCGACCAUGUGAAGUGUAACCGAGACACGAGGAGUUUUCUAACGUUUAAAGCGAUAUGCUGGAGUUUGACGGAGAUUACAGUGUACGAGUCAGAGUAUAAGGUCGGACGUAUACCUUAUUGUUUUUCUUCAAAAAUAAAGAAACUAUUCAUCAACAGACUAUGUUAUGAAGAUUUAUCUGUUAAGCUCUGAAGGUCUCACGGAGAGCUCACAUGCGUAUUACGACUCUCCUGUAACCAUGUAGUCUCCUGUGGCUAGAGGGAGUAAUCUCUUGAACAAUAUAAAAACCUGUCACUACAAUUCCUUCUCUCCAGAGAUGCUGCCUCACCCCCUGAGUUACUCCAGCAUUCUGUGUCUACCAAGUGGAAUUAUUUUGUGGGAGAGGAACAAAUGCGGGGAUUAAGUGUGUGAUACCUUACAUUUCUUUGAGUUAAUUGAGAUUCAAGCAAUUUUGAGUUUUAACUAUUCUGAUAACAUCUGCCCUGGGUGGCCUCCAUUGCCAGAGUGAGGCCACAUGCAAACUGGAGGAACAGCACCUCAUAUUCCGCUUGGGUAGCUUAUAAUCCGAUGAUAUGAACGUUGAAUUUUCCAAGUUUAGGUAACCUCUAACUACCGUUCCCCACAACCCCCCCUUUUCUCCCCCCU